rnacentral:rRNA from 1 species
CCGAGUUGUAAUCUAGAGAAGUGUUMCCUGUGCUGAACCGUGUACAAGUCUCCUGGAAUGGAGCAUCAUAGAGGGUGAGAAUCCCGUCUUUGACAUGGACUAUCUGUACGUUAUGGUGCGCUCUCAAAGAGUCGAGUUGUUUGGGAAUGCAGCUCAAAAUGGGUGGUAAAUGCCAUCUAAAGCUAAAUAUUGGCGAGAGACCGAUAGCGAACAAGUACCGUGAGGGAAAGAUGAAAAGAACUUUGGAAAGAGAGUUAAACAGUACGUGAAAUUGCUGAAAGGGAAACGCUUGAAGUCAGUCGCGUUGACUAGAAAUCAGCCUUGCUCUUGCUUGGUGUACUUUCUUGUUGAUGGGUCAGCAUCAAUUUUGACCAUUGGAUAAAGUCUCUGGGAAUGUGGCAUCUUAGGAUGUGUUAUAGCCCAGGGUCGCAUACAGUGGUUGGGAUUGAGGAACUCAGCACGCCGCAAGGCCGGGUUUCGACCACGUUCGUGCUUAGGAUGCUGGCAUAAUGGCUUUAAUCGACCCGUCUUGAAACACGGACCAAGGAGUCUAACAUGCCUGCGAGUGUUUGGGUGGAAAAACCCAUGCGCGAAAUGAAAGUGAAAGUUGAGAUCCCCCUCGAAAGGGAGCAUUGACGCCCGGACCAGACCUUUUGUGACGGAUCCGCGGUAGAGCAUGUAUGUUGGG